UAACCUCCUUGUAUCAAGGUGACUCAACAUUAGCAUAGACGCUAUUAGGAGGACUGACCAAAAGUCUACCUAAUUAUGGAUAAGAAUCCAUGAGUACUUCAAUACUUUUAGAGAACCUAACUGGCCUAAACAUUCUGUGGGGUCGUUGACUAAUCGAUGGUCAACCAUCCAAAAAGCCACAAACAAGUUUUGUGGUUGUUUGGCCCAAUUUGAAUCAAUGCAUCCAAGCGGUACCAAUGAACAAGACAAUACUGAGAAGGCAAAGGUAAUGUACCGAUUGACACAAAAAGCCACCUAUAAUUUGGACCAUUUUUGUAACCUAUUGAGGCACCAACCAAAGUGGCAAGUGCACAUGGAUAAUUUGCCAACAAAGAGAAAGAAAGGUUGUUGUACCUUUCUAGCUGCCAAUGCCACGGAUAUAGACAUUUGUGAGAGCAUGUCUAUCAAUGUGGAGAGACCACUAGUCAAGAAAGUUGAAAAAGAAAGGGAAA